AAACCAGCACCUCAAGUGGUCAGGAUGAUUAUUGGGCCUAAAGCAUCCGUAGCCUGCUUUGUAAGUUUUCGGUUAAAUCCAUGUGCUCAACGCAUGGGCUGCCGAAAAUACUGCAUAGCUAGGGAGUGGGAGAGGUAGACGGUACUCAGUAGGUAGGGGUAAAAUCCUUUGAUCUAUUGAUGACCACCUGUGGCGAAGGCGGUCUACCAGAACACGUUCGACGGUGAGGGAUGAAAGCUGGGGGAGCAAACCGGAUUAGAAACCCGGGUAGUCC
rnacentral:rRNA from 1 species